UACGUAGGGGUGCGAGCGUUGUCCGGAAUUACUGGGCGUAAAGAGCUCGUAGGUGGUUUGUCGCGUUGUUCGUGAAAACUCACAGCUUAACUGUGGGCGUGCGGGCGAUACGGGCAGACUGGAGUACUGCAGGGGAGACUGGAAUUCCUGGUGUAGCGGUGGAAUGCGCAGAUAUCAGGAGGAACACCGGUGGCGAAGGCGGGUCUCUGGGCAGUAACUGACGCUGGAGGAGCGAAAGCGUGGGGAGCGAACAGG
rnacentral:rRNA from 1 species